GACGAACGCUGGCGGCGUGCUUAACACAUGCAAGUCGAACGAAGUGGCGAACGGGUGAGUAACGCGUAAUCAACCUGCCCUUCAGCGGGGGACAACAGUUGGAAACGUCUGCUAAUACCGCAUACUGAAGGAGGGGAUUGCGGCUGCUUAGCUAGUUGGGGGGGUAACGGCCCACCAAGGCGAUGAUCAGUAGCCGGUCUGAGAGGAUGAACGGCCAAAUUGGGACGUAGAACAGGCCCAGACUCCUACGGGAGGCAGCAGUGGGGAAUCUUCCGCAAUGGACGAAAGUCUGACGGAGCAACGCCGCGUGAGUGAUGACGGCCUUCGGGUUGUAAAGCUCUGUUAAUCGGGACGCGGUACCGGAAUAGAAAGCCACGGCUAACUACGUGCCAGCAGCCGCGGUAAUUC
rnacentral:rRNA from 1 species